rnacentral:rRNA from 1 species
AUUGAACGCUGGCGGCAUGCCUUACACAUGCAAGUCGAACGGUAACAGGUUAAGCUGACGAGUGGCGAACGGGUGAGUAAUACAUCGGAACGUGCCCAGUAGUGGGGGAUAGCCCGGCGAAAGCCGGAUUAAUACCGCAUACGACCUAAGGGUGAAAGGGGGGGAUCGCAAUACCUCUCGCUAUUGGAGCGUCCGAUGUCAGAUUAGCUCGUUGGUGGGGUAAAAGCUCACCAAGGCGACGAUCUGUAGCUGGUCUGAGAGGACGAUCAGCCACACUGGGACUGAGACACGGCCCAGACUCCUACGGGAGGCAGCAGUGGGGAAUGUUGGACAAUGGGGGCAAGCCUGAUCCAGCCAUGCCGCGUGCGGGAAGAAGGCCUUCGGGUUGUAAACCGCUUUUGUCAGGGAAGAAAUCCUUUGGGUUAAUACCUCGGGGGGAUGACGGUACCUGAAGAAUAAGCACCGGCUAACUACGUG